rnacentral:tRNA from 1 species
GCCUCAUUGGUUCAGGGGCAGAGCGUCUGUCUAGUAAGCAGAAGGUCUCUGGUUCGAUUCCAGCAUGAGGCA